UUGGGUGCUCUAUCUCCUAUUUCUCAUCACUAGAGCAGUUUCACGGAUCACCUAGCGCUCGGAAAACCAUGGUGAGGAGCCGGUGCCACAUUCUCUCCUGAGCGGGAAGCUGGUCAUUGUGUUGCUUUGCUUCAACUACCAUUUACCAUCGAUGAUGGUUCUUCUCCACCUCUGGAAAGAGUCAGAGGAGAAGAUGCAAUCAGAGUGGC